rnacentral:rRNA from 1 species
AACGAACGCUGGCGGCAGGCCUAACACAUGCAAGUCGAACGCCCGUAGCAAUACGGGAGUGGCAGACGGGUGAGUAACGCGUGGGAACGUGCCCUUCGGUUCGGAAUAACUCAGGGAAACUUGAGCUAAUACCGGAUACGUCCGUAAGGAGAAAGAUUUAUCGCCGAAGGAUCGGCCCGCGUCGGAUUAGCUAGUUGGUGAGGUAACGGCCCACCAAGGCGACGAUCCGUAGCUGGUCUGAGAGGANGAUCAGCCACACUGGGACUGAGACACGGCCCAGACUCCUACGGGAGGCAGCAGUGGGGAAUAUUGGACAAUGGGCGAAAGCCUGAUCCAGCCAUGCCGCGUGAGUGAAGAAGGCCUUAGGGUUGUAAAGCUCUUUCAGCGGGGAAGAUAAUGACGGUACCCGCAGAAGAAGCCCCGGCU